rnacentral:rRNA from 1 species
AGAAUCAACGCUGGCGGCGUGCCUAACACAUGCAAGUCGAACGCGAAAGUCCCGCAAGGGAUGAGUAGAGUGGCAAACGGGUGAGUAACACGUGGGUGACCUGCCCUCGAGCGGGGGAUAACGUCCCGAAAGGGACGCUAAUACCGCAUGACAUCCUGCCUUUGAACAGGUGGAGAUCAAAGCUGGGGAUCGCAAGACCUAGCACUUGAGGAGGGGCCCGCGCCUGAUUAGCUAGUUGGUGAGGUAACGGCUCACCAAGGCUUCGAUCAGUA